rnacentral:rRNA from 1 species
GUUNCCGUAGGUGAACCUGCGGAAGGAUCAUUA